rfam:Ictidomys tridecemlineatus contig017787, whole genome shotgun sequence.
UAGCUCAGUUGGUAGAGUGCUUGCUUUGCAUGCACAAGGCCCUGGGUUCAAUCCCCAG